CUUUAAUCCAGACUCUGUCUCUUUCAAUGUCCAUACUAAUAGGCAUCCUGUUGGAUUUAACAAGGCCACAGUGCCUAAUCCUUCUUCUCCUUUCAGAGAAAGAGUCAAUUUUGAUCAAACCAGAGGACCUUUAUUCUGUAGAUACUGUAAAAAAUCUGGACACUUAAUUGAUAAGUGUUUCAAGAUCCAUAAGUAUCCACAAAGUACAAAUUUUAACAAGGGGAGGAGACCUGCUGUUGCUCAUCUUAGUGCUGGUCUGGAUUUCCCUCAUUCUGAAGGACAUAUGUCUGUUCCCCAAUGGAAUCCUCCUGAAAGCCAUCAAUCUGUUCCAAAAAUAGAUGGCCAGAGUUCUGUGAUACCAGNNN
rnacentral:lncRNA from 1 species